rnacentral:tRNA from 1 species
GCCGCUAUGGUGAAAUUGGUAGACACGCUGCUCUUAGGAAGCAGUGCAAAGGCUUUUCGGUUCGAGUCCGAGUGGCGGCA